rnacentral:rRNA from 1 species
GACUGAUGCAGCGACGCCGCGUGAGUGAGAGUAUUUCGGUAUGUAAAGCUCUAUCGGCAGGGAAGAAAAUGACGGGACCUGACUGAGAAGCCCCGGCUAAUACGUGCCAGCAGCCGCGGGUAAUACAACAUGC